GUUUUCCUCAAAUUUAAAGAUAUUCUAUUAUAAUACCGUUAAUAGUAAUUUUUAAAUGCUGAAAUUAGCAGCAAGAAUGGCAAUCUUGAUAUUGAUAUAUUUAUGUUUUGUAAACGUAUCCUCAAUUUGGUUCUAUCGAGUUGGAAAUAAGAAAAGGAAUAUAUAGAGCAAAACAGAGGAUCUGUUUCAAAGAUAAUACACCUACGCACGACCGUAUUUGUUUCAUUUUUUACAGCAAUGGAUCGAUACCUCUGCUAGUGGGAUAUUAGUUCCAGAGGGUGUCACCAGCUCAGUAGUCAGUUCUUCGGUACUGUCAUGAUUUAUAAAAAAAAACUUUCUAAAAUGCCCUGGUUAUCAAUUGUGAAAUGAAUAGAAACUAAGAUUUCAACUCGCUUACUCAAAAUUAGCUCUAUAGGUUGCAUUUGUAAAUACAGCUGUUUCUCAAACAACGCCUCCUAUUAAUGGAUAUGUUAGUUUUUUAACGUACUGGUUCCUAGAUAUGAUCUCUAUGUUUCAUCUCAUAGAGACAUCAUUUUGGAAUGUAACAAGUAUAGAAAAACAUGGUAGUUCUGGGACAUAAUUUUUUCACGUAACUUUACAGUGAAAGUGUCACAGUUGUGGUCUCACAAAUUUAUAACGAAGUAUUUGAUUAAAUCGAUUAUAUAUAUAUAUAUUCCUAAGUCGUAUUGCUCGCACUAUUGAGGCAGACUGAGGAUCCGUUUGAUAAUGGUAAAUAAACUCAUCAUAGGUACCAGGACUAAAUUGCGUUUCGUCUACAAAAGACUCAUCAGUGACGCUCGAAUAAUGUAAUAAAAUUGAAAUUGAUCAUACUUAUACUAAUAAUAUAAUAUAAUGAUAAUGAUAGUUAAUGUGAAAAGUUCAUUAACACUUUGUUAUAAACUUACGACCAAAUUUAACAAGAGGCAUAUCAAAUAUCAUACCGACCUAGACAUAUGAAGAUUUCGUUUCAACAGUGUUUUAAAUCCAGGUUUUCAUUUCAAAAGAAGUCAAAUUGGCAAAAAUAGAACCAAAAAUUCAAUACGUAUUUUUUUUAAAACAAACAAAAUUAUCGAGAUUUAGAUUUUACACGCA
rnacentral:lncRNA from 1 species